AGGCACAAUUAAUUGUAGAUGUAAAUAAUGGCAGUUGGAGGUCUUACAACUUGAUUUGCAAGUGCAAGCAGUUGGAGACUCAGAUGCCAUCACCUGUGUCUGCAGUCAAUUGCAGUUAUCAACACCCUUCUUGAAUUGUGGACACCAGAACUGGACACAGUAUUCCAGUAGCGGUUGCACUAGUGCCAAAUAGAGGUAAAAUAUCCUUUUUUGAGAAAUAAAGAUCGAAAUUUACAGUAUUGGUAACAAUAAGAAGAUACGGAGAAAUGAACAACCCUUCAAAACAGAUUCCUAAAUCCAUAUUCAUCUGCUGAAAGAACUAACCUGUUUAGGAAAUCCUAUGCUAGUUGUCCAGUUUGCUACAGCUGUGAAGAAAAUGCUCAAUAAUAUAUAGAAUAUAAACUUGCUAAUUUGCACACGUUACAAUUUCUUAUUUUUUUUAAAUCAGUUUUCCCCACUUCUUAGCAAAGAUUUAAUAGCAGAGUUCUAUAGUGAGCUUUCAUAUUGUUAAGGCUUCAUUAGCCCAUUUAUU